UCACGUGGUUGGGAAAAAUGGCGGAAAGCAAAAGGGUCCAACGGCCGACGGGAAUGACCCCCAGCGAUAUUCCGGAAGAUGUUGUCGCAACCGCCUCACCGGAAAAGAGAAGACCAGGUCACAAAGAAAAGUCCCCGGAACCGGAGGCCGCCGUCCAAAAAGAGUGAAAAAGUGACGGAACUGGUGCUCUGAGGACGAAGAUCUGGAGUUGUCAGCCACCAUGAGGAGGAGGAAAAGCACCGCGCCAUAGUGAUGGACAAUUCGACGGCCGUGUACGAGAAGGGAGCGGGAGUCGAUUCGUGUACAGCUUCUUCUCCGUAAAACACUGCAGAGGACCAACUUGUUUGCUAGGAACGAGCUCAAAUCUUUUCCACGUCUGGUUCCGUGUUGGCCAGUAAAGCUGCGGAUGCCGCGAAUGUCACAACUGCAACCUCGACUACCCCCUCCAACAAGUUUGACCCCACGCAUGCCCUGGCCACCGAGUAUAUGCUGUAUGAGGUUAUGGUGCGACGGAGUUGCAGUUUUUAUCUUUCGAAAAAGUGCUCGAGAACAAGCGUACCUGCGGAGCUGGACCGCCGGUGAACCAUGACGCUAUCCAUUUUGUCGCGGUGGUUCGACAGGAAGUUCUACGCCGGCAACGAUUCCGGGCUACAAGUGGGGACAUCAAAUUCACUACGAUCGGCGACAAGGACACGCUUCCGAUCGUUUACGCGCCGUACAAGUGCUCUCCGGAGGCGACAAUGCGGUUUCGUCCGUAUUGGUCAAGUGUGGCAAAUGCAAAGCUAACAUUCUUUGUACCCAAUAGCUUUACAUAUAACUUAAUAAAGACAAUGUGGGGAUUCGCGGCUGGGGAGUGUUUUUCUAUGACUUUUUCUUAUCAGAUUUAAAAUAAAAUCGUUUGAAAAAAGA